UACAGGGGGUGCAAACGUUGCUCGGAAUUAUGGGCGUAAAGCGCGCGUAGGCGGCUACUUAAGUCGGAUGUGAAAGCCCUUGGCUCAACUGAGGAAGUGCACCCGAAACUGAGUGGCUUGAGUACAAAAGAGGGUCGCGGAAUUCCCGGUGUAGAGGUGAAAUUCCGUAGAUAUCGGGAGGAACACCGGUGGCGAAGGCGGCGACCUGGGUUGAUACUGGACGCUGAGGCGCGAAACGUGGGGAGCAAACAGG
rnacentral:rRNA from 1 species